rnacentral:rRNA from 1 species
GAUGGCAUAGUUCUUCCGCAUGGUAGAACUAUUAAAGAAUUUUCGGGUCAUCCGAUGGGGGGAAUUGCGUUUCCCAUUUAAGGGUUGUUUGGCGGGGGUUAAACGGCCCACCAAGCCUUCGAUGGAUAGGGGUUCUGAGAGGAAGGUCCCCCACAUUGGAACUGAGACACGGGUCCAAACUCCUACGGGAGGCAGCAGUGAGGAAUAUUGGUCAAUGGACGAGAGUCUGAACCAGCCAAGUAGCGUGAAGGAUGACUGCCCUAUGGGUUGUAAACUUCUUUUAUACGGGAAUAAAGUGAGGCACGUGUGCCUUUUGUAUGUACCGUAUGAAUAAGGAUCGGCUAACUCCGUG